AUGGGGACACUCCGGAGGGGACACGGCGAUCCCGGGGGACACGGGGCUCAGGCGGCACCGGGGACACCGGGAGAUGGGGCGCGUGUGGCUUUGGGGACAUCUCGCCUCCUCCCGGGGCCCAUCCUGUGGGACUGCGGUCUGGGGACACCUCAUCAAAAUCCUCAAAGACUUUUUGGGGCUUUUCCGUUCCCUUUUCUCCCUUCCCCUUUUUAUUUUCCUUUUUUUUUUUCAAUACUUUUCCCCUUUCUGAGCCCUUGGCUGGGUCCGGCUCUCCUUCAUCCGCGGGGACAGAAAUUUCCAGUGAGGAUUGGGGUGAGAAUGGGAUUUUCCCAUUUAUUUCUCAUUAAUUAAUUGUCACGAUGUCUUUUUCCGAAUUUCUCAGGUUCAGGCUCUUCCCAGAGGAUCUUUCCGGGGGUGGCGAAGCUCGGCUGGGCUGUCGGGCACCUGCUCUAGAUGGCAGCAGCCUCCUUCCCUUCCCCGAGCCUCAUUCCCCGCUCUUCAUCCCCAUCCCCACCCCUCCUCCUCCUCAUCCAUCUCCCUUCCCCCCUCUUCAUCCAUCCCCCCAUCCCUCCUCGGUGUCCCCCCAUGGAAUUCAGCCUUUGGAGCACCCUGGGGUGGUGGAAUUGUCGCUGCCCUGGGAACGGGACGGGCUUGAAGGUCCCCUCCAACCCAAACCAUUCCUGUCUGUCCCUCGCUGCUGUCCCCAGAGCGGGCUGUGGGGUGACAAACCCCGGGAGCAUCCCUGAUUUUGGGGGAUGGAGUCUUUGGGAUGGAGGGAUGCGGGUCUGGAGCAGCUCGUGCAGCACAGCCGAGCCUGGAUCCUCCGAGCAUUCCUGGCUGGAGACACCAAAAAAUUCCCCUGGAGCUGUUCUGCCUCUCACAGCUCGCGCUGAGCCCCCAUCCUGCGGCUCCUUUGGGGUCAGGGACGCUGAAACCCAGCCUGAUCCAUCCCGGAGCUCAUCCCGCUCCCCAAAGCCUCGGUGACAUCCCUAAAACCUCGGGAACAUCCCAAAAACCCAGGAAUUUGGCUCCCUGGAGCGGAACGAGCGGCGUCAGCAGGAGCCAGGUGGAAAAGAGCUCAGAGCUGAGGAGAAGCAAAGUCUGGGGCUGGGAUUUUUUCCUGUUUUAUUUGGUUUUGUUUGGGUUUUUUUUGUUGUUGUUUUUUUUCUUUUUUUGUUUGGCUUUUUGGUGGCUUUUUUGGGGGUUUUUUGGGGUUUUUUUUGUUUUGUUUUGUAGAUCGGACUUCAAAUUCAGGGGAAGCUCAGCAGAAAUUCAUCCAGGAGGAUUUUAGGGAGAGAUAAAAAUACCUGGAGGGGUUUAGAGGGGAAAAAGUAAAAAAGAAAGGAAAGGAAAGGAAAGGAAAGGAAAGGAAAGGAAAGGAAAGGAAAGGAAAGGAAAGGAAAGGAAAGGAAAGGAAAGGAAAGGAAAGGAAAGGAAAGGAAAGGAAAGGAAAGGAAAGGAAAGGAAAGGAAAGGAAAGGAAAGGAAAGGAAAGGAAAGGAAAGGAAAGGAAAGGAAAGGAAAGGAAAGGGAAAAGGGAAAAGGGAAAAGGGAAAAGGGAAAAGGGAAAAGGGAAAAGGGAUGCCACUGUGGGAUAUCCCAGGAUAUCCCAGAAUCCCGGACUGCUUUUGGGCUGGAGGGACCUUAAAGCCCGUCCAGGGCCACCCCAGGGGCACCUUCUGCCAUCCCAGGUGGCUUCAAGGCCCGUCCAACCUGGCCUGGGACACUUCCAGGGACGGGGCAGCCGCAGCUUUCCUGGAAAUUCCAUUCCAGACCCUCAAGGGGAUGGAAUUCCACCCCAAACCCUCACCCCGAUGGGCGCCUGCUCCGAGGGAACCUCGGGAUGGAAAUGAGGAUGGGGAGAGGAGGAGGAGGAGCCACGACGCUCCCGUUCCUUCCCCCAGCUCCCACCUGCUGAGGGUUUUUCACCUUUUGACCCAAAAUUUGCCUUCCGGGCCCUCGGCACUGCCCACCCCGGGCAGCAGCUGCGGGUAACACCUGGAUUUUCCAGAGCUGUGGACCUUGGCCCUGUUCCCCAGCACCUGGUGACCAGGUUUUCCAAAGCAAAGUCGUUUUCCUGGUUAUUGCUCCUGCCCGGAGAGCCCCGGGAACAGCUGGGAAACAGCCGGAUUUACCGGAUCACGGAUCCUUCCUCCUCCUCCUUCCUCCUCCUCCCUCCUCCCCGGAGCGGGGACAGCUCCGUGGGGGCUGGAUCUGGGAACAAAAGGAGGAAAAUCAUCCGGGAUGGGGACAGCCCUGUUCGUUUCCCGAGAGCUGGGAACAGCCCGGAGUUUUAUCCUGAGAGUUUGUCCUUGAGGCCUUUUUUUUGUGUUUUCCUCCCCCUUUUAAAGGAACAUUUCACCCACGGGAAUAACUGGGAUUGAGAUCCCAGAAAUGUCAAAGACCCAAAGGAGAAAGGAAAAAGGAAAAGUUGAGGAAAUGAGGAGGUCCCGGCUCGUCCUGGUGCGAGGGAUGGUUACAAAUCCCACCUUGGGGAAAAACAUUGAUUUUCUUUCUCCUCUCUCUGGGUUAUUGGUGGGAAUUGAUGACCUCAGCGGGCUUUUCCAACCUGAAAAAUUCCGCUUUUCCACGAUUUUCUGGAUGCUCGGCUCUGGCUGGACUCAGAUCCGAGGUGUCUGCAGCAAAUCUGGGAAUUGUUUCAGGAAGAAGCCGAGUGGGCACGGAAAGACCGGGAGAACAAGACCCAUCACGUUCCCCAAGUGCUAAUGAGGGAAUGAAAUUAAACCGCCCGCGAGACCAAAACUCUCCAAAAUUCCUUCCUCAAGAGCAGCAUCCCCUCCACAAUUCCAUGGACAAUCCAGAAAUGAAUCACAGGCGGGAUUGAGGAACGGAUAAUUCCUAAAGCUGCUGCUCCAACCCAAUAAAACCCCGCUUAGUAUCACAUAAUUUGUGUUAAUUCCGGAAUUGCUGCUAAUUCCGGCCCAAUUAGGAGAUAAAACACGGCGGUGGAGCCGCUUAUUAAAUUACAAAUCAUCCCGGCUAAAUCCGAGGAUUAUUUAACACCGAGGGUUUCGGGAAGACGCUCGGGAAUCUGCGCCGGAAUAACGAUGUCAGGGGAGCAGGAGCGUUAAUCAAAGUAAUGAAAACAUAAAUUAGGGGAGGCUGGGCCAAUAAAUAGGAAAUAAA